rnacentral:rRNA from 1 species
UACGUAGGGUGCGAGCGUUGUCCGGAAUUAUUGGGCGUAAAGGGCUCGUAGGCGGUUUGUCGCGUCGGGAGUGAAAACCUCGGGCUUAACUCGGGGCUUGCUUUCGAUACGGGCAGACUGGAGGUAUGCAGGGGAGAACGGAAUUCCUGGUGUAGCGGUGAAAUGCGCAGAUAUCAGGAGGAACACCGAUGGCGAAGGCAGGUCUCUGGGCUGUAACUGACGCUGAGGAGCGAAAGCAUGGGGAGCGAACAGG